GCCUGUGUGGCUCAACGGUAGAGCACUUCAGCCCAGUCAAUGUCUUGCACACUGUUCUCGAAGGGAUGUGGGCUCGACUCUCACUGCAGGCG